UACAGAGGGUGCAAGCGUUGUUCGGAAUUAUUGGGCGUAAAGCGCGUGUAGGCGGCUUUGCAAGUCGGGUGUGAAAGCCCCUCAGCUCAACUGAGGAAGUGCGCCCGAAACUGCAGAGCUUGAGUGCCGGAGAGGGUGGCGGAAUUCCCCCAAGUAGAGGUGAAAUUCGUAGAUAUGGGGAGGAACACCGGUGGCGAAGGCGGCAUCCUGGACCGGCAUUGACGCUGAGGAGCGAAAGCCAGGGGAGCAAACGGG
rnacentral:rRNA from 1 species